CAAUUUACUCCUUAAACUUUAAACACCUGCCAAAUCAAUAUCUCUGUUACUCUUCUGUUAAUAAACUAACGGUAAAACUCACGUGAGAGGCAUGUGUGGGAAUAAAAACUAAAGCUGAACAGCCUGAACUGUUGAGAGAGAGAGAGAGAGAAAGUUUGAGCUCAAUUUAGAGAGAGGGGAGAUGAUCCAACCAGAAGUCCAUAACAACCUCGGUAGCCUCUCUCCGGUGCCGGAGUUCCACCGUCAUCUCACUGGCUGUUCACCGCUGGUCUAUGUAUGAAUGUCUACUGUCACUUCCUACAAAUUCAUCUGAUGAGGAAGGGAAUUCCAGGCCUAGAUUCCAUGAGUUUAACCAACACACUGACAUGAAGAAUGUAUAGCCAACAAAUGGACUCAAAUUUGUAUCACAUGUAGUCUUCAAGGAGGCAUUAAAGGAGUGGUGUAUUAGAGAAAAUCAUGAUUGGGCAAUAAGUGGAGAGUAACAACUAGAUGUAAAAAAAUUAUAAAUAAAUAAAUAAAUAAGUGGUUGGAAGAUAAGAGGCAUCCCAAACACAAAGGGGUGUUAUUUUUUGUAUAAUUAUUGAUUCAUUGGGUGUUAUUUUUUUGAAACAAUUUACUAUUUGUAAACGCUCAUUGUUAUUUUAAUUCAUGGUGGUUGAGGAGAACAA